rnacentral:tRNA from 1 species
GGUAGCCGUGGCCUACUGGUUAGGGCUUCGGACUUGUAACCAGAGGCUUGCCGGUUCGAACCCCCGACCA